rnacentral:rRNA from 1 species
UGGGGAAUAUUGGACAAUGGGCGAAAGCCUGAUCCAGCCAUGCCGCGUGUGUGAAGAAGGUCUUCGGAUUGUAAAGCACUUUAAGUUGGGAGGAAGGGCAGUAAGUUAAUACCUUGCUGUUUUGACGUUACCAACAGAAUAAGCACCGGCUAACUUCGUGCCAGCAGCCGCGGUAAUACGAAGGGUGCAAGCGUUAAUCGGAAUUACUGGGCGUAAAGCGCGCGUAGGUGGUUCAGCAAGUUGGAUGUGAAAUCCCCGGGCUUAACCUGGGAAUUGCAUUUCAUACUGGGUCGCUAGAGUACUUUAGGGAGGGGUAGAAUUCCACGUGUAGCGGUGAAAUGCGUAGAGAUGUGGAGGAAUACCGAAGGCGAAGGCAGCCCCUUGGGAAUGUACUGACGCUCAUGUGCGAAAGCGUGGGGAGCAAACAGGAUUAGAUACCCUGGUAGUCCACGCUGUAAACGAUGUCGAUUUGGGGGUUGAGCUUUAAGUUUGGCGCCCGUAGCUAACGUGAUAAAUCGACCGCCUGGGGAGUACGGCCGCAAGGUUA